ACGGAGCUUGCUCUGUGGGAUCAGUGGCGAACGGGUGAGUAACACGUGAGCAACCUGCCCCUGACUCUGGGAUAAGCGCUGGAAACGGCGUCUAAUACUGGAUAUGUGACGUGACCGCAUGGUCUGCGUUUGGAAAGAUUUUUCGGUUGGGGAUGGGCUCGCGGCCUAUCAGCUUGUUGGUGAGGUAAUGGCUCACCAAGGCGUCGACGGGUAGCCGGCCUGAGAGGGUGACCGGCCACACUGGGACUGAGACACGGCCCAGACUCCUACGGGAGGCAGCAGUGGGGAAUAUUGCACAAUGGGCGGAAGCCUGAUGCAGCAACGCCGCGUGAGGGAUGACGGCCUUCGGGUUGUAAACCUCUUUUAGCAGGGAAGAAGCGAAAGUGACGGUACCUGCAGAAAAAGCGCCGGCUAACUACGUGCCAGCAGCCGCGGUAAUACGUAGGGCGCAAGCGUUAUCCGGAAUUAUUGGGCGUAAAGAGCUCGUAGGCGGUUUGUCGCGUCUGCUGUGAAAUCCCGAGGCUCAACCUCGGGCCUGCAGUGGGUACGGGCAGACUAGAGUGCGGUAGGGGAGAUUGGAAUUCCUGGUGUAGCGGUGGAAUGCGCAGAUAUCAGGAGGAACACCGAUGGCGAAGGCAGAUCUCUGGGCCGUAACUGACGCUGAGGAGCGAAAGGGUGGGGGAGCAAACAGGCUUAGAUACCCUGGUAGUCCACCCCGUAAACGUUGGGGAACUAGUUGUGGGGUCCAUUUCCACGGAUUCCGUGACGCAGCUAACGCAUUAAGUUCCCCGCCUGGGGAGUACGGCCGCAAGGCUAAAACUCAAAGGAAUUGACGGGGACCCGCACAAGCGGCGGAGCAUGCGGAUUAAUUCGAUGCAACGCGAAGAACCUUACCAAGGCUUGACAUAUACGAGAACGGGCCAGAAAUGGUCAACUCUUUGGACACUCGUAAACAGGUGGUGCAUGGUUGUCGUCAGCUCGUGUCGUGAGAUGUUGGGUUAAGUCCCGCAACGAGCGCAACCCUCGUUCUAUGUUGCCAGCACGUAAUGGUGGGAACUCAUGGGAUACUGCCGGGGUCAACUCGGAGGAAGGUGGGGAUGACGUCAAAUCAUCAUGCCCCUUAUGUCUUGGGCUUCACGCAUGCUACAAUGGCCGGUACAAAGGGCUGCAAUACCGUGAGGUGGAGCGAAUCCCAAAAAGCCGGUCCCAGUUCGGAUUGAGGUCUGCAACUCGACCUCAUGAAGUCGGAGUCGCUAGUAAUCGCAGAUCA
rnacentral:rRNA from 1 species